rnacentral:rRNA from 1 species
AUUGAACGCUGGCGGCAGGCCUAACACAUGCAAGUCGAGCGGAUGAAGGGAGCUUGCGCCUCGAUUCAGCGGCGGACGGGUGAGUAAUGCCUAGGAAUCUGCCUUGUAGUGGGGGAUAACGUCCGGAAACGGGCGCUAAUACCGCAUACGUCCUUAGGGGGAAAGUGGGGGAUCUUCGGACCUCACGCUAUCAGAUGAGCCUAGGUCGGAUUAGCUAGUUGGUGGGGUAAAGGCCUACCAAGGCGACGAUCCGUAACUGGUCUGAGAGGAUGAUCAGUCACACUGGAACUGAGACACGGUCCAGACUCCUACGGGAGGCAGCAGUGGGGAAUAUUGGAAAAUGGGCGAAAGCCUGAUCCAGCCAUGCAGCGUGUGUGAAGAAGGUCUUCGGAUUGUAAAACACUUUAAGUUGGGAAGAAGGGUAGUAAGUUGAUACCUUCCUGUUUUGACGUUACCAACAGAAUAAGCACCGGCUAACUUCGUG